UUUUGAUCUCCUAAGGGUAGGUUCGAGUCCUAUUUUUUUA
rnacentral:tRNA from 1 species